CAUCGCCAGAUUUUCUGGGCGUAAUUUUGAGGCAGUACCCCGAAGUUGGUAAAUUCUGUAUCAAUGACUGUUUCAUCAAAUUUAAUAUAUGCAAUGCCUAUCUUCUUUGCAGACAAGUAAAAGAAACAUACCCAUGUUGUUUGUCCGAGGUGAUGGUGUAAUCUUGGUUUCUCCGCCUGUUCGUGUCGGUCUAUGAGCGAAGAUUUUAUUGCGUGUUAUUUUUUGUACAUUUUACAACAUCUGUGAAAACAUCCGUGAACAGACGACCCAUGUAGUAAUUUUAGAAAGAAAAGUAAUGUUGUGUAAUAUAAUGUUUGUGUAACACAAAGAAGUUGCUAUACAUUGUAGUGUUUUGUAAAGGUAUAUAAAUAUAAUGAGAAAUAUAAAGCGGCGUUUUACAAUUUGAUCUGAACCCUUAUUUGACAGUCACGUACACGAGGGCAUUGUUUUUUAAACAAAUAAUCUGUUGUCUGCCUGUUGAAAUGAAUCGUGCUUAAUUAAUUUAAAAGUUGACGUGGAUGGCAAAUCGAUCAAUUCUAGGAAUGAAAGACCAGUAACUGAUAAGCAUUGCAUUGCCAUUGGUGUCAGAGCAAGGUUAGGUCGGUAAUGCGACUAAUGUCUGCUCCGUCACGAAAAUGUACCGGUACUUUACAAUCACACUAGUUUUCUUGUGAAACGAAAAAUUCUAGUUUUCUAGCAAAUGGGAAAUCUUGUCCAGAAUUGCAUUCCCUGCGUUUUUUAUGCGAUUUUUAAUAAACAUAAUUUACAGAGGGUCCUGAAGGG